GAAGGGGAAAAGGAGACUCUCAUAACUUUUAAAUUGCAUUCACGGAGCCCUUGCUAGAAAGAUCUCCCCAAAAGGAGCCAGGGGCUUGCGGUCCCCUGCCUGGGUGGUGGUGUGUCCGGAAUUGGUAGGUUCUUGGUCUCACUGACUUCAAGAAUGAAGCCGCGGACCCUCGCGGUGAGUGUUACAGCUCUUAAGGUGGCGCAUCUGGAGUUCUUGACCUCAUGAUCCACCCACCUUGGCCUCCCAAAGUGCCAGGAUUACAGACAGGAGCCACCGUGCCUGGCCACCGGAUUCUUUUUAUUACAGACUUAAACUGGACACUGGGCUGUGACCAUCAGCAGUGUAAUGUGAAC
rnacentral:lncRNA from 10 species